rnacentral:rRNA from 1 species
GACGAACGCUGGCGGCGUGCUUAACACAUGCAAGUCGAACGGAAAGGCCCUGCUUGCAGGGUACUCGAGUGGCGAACGGGUGAGUAACACGUGGGUGAUCUGCCCUGCACUUCGGGAUAAGCCUGGGAAACUGGGUCUAAUACCGGACAGGAGCCAUUUUUAGUGUGAUGGUUGGAAAGUUUUUUCGGUGUAGGAUGAGCUCGCGGCCUAUCAGCUUGUUGGUGGGGUAAUGGCCUACCAAGGCGGCGACGGGUAGCCGGCCUGAGAGGGUGGACGGCCACAUUGGGACUUAGAGACGGCCGAGGCUCGUACGGGAGGCAGCAGUGGGGAAUAUUGCACAAUGGGCGCAAGCCGGAUGCAGCGACGCCGCGGGGGGGAUGACUGCCUUCGGGUUGUAAACUCCUUUCGCUAGGGACGAAGCUUUUUGUGACGGUACCUAGAUAAGAAGCACCGGCUAACUACGUG